GGAAUUUUGCGCAAUGGACGAAAGUCUGACGCAGCAACGCCGCGUGGGUGAUGAAGGUCUUCGGAUUGUAAAACCCUGUCGUCGAGGACGAAGGUGGGGGUGUUAAUAGCGCCCUUGCUUGACGGUACUCGGAGAGGAAGCCCCGGCUAACUCUGUGCCAGCAGCCGCGGUAAUACAGAGGGGGCAAGCGUUAUUCGGAAUUAUUGGGCGUAAAGGGCGCGUAGGCGGUUUCUUAAGUCGGAUGUGCAAUCCCCGGGCUCAACCUGGGAACUGCAUCCGAGACUGGGAGGCUAGAGUACUGGAGAGGUUGGUGGAAUUCCUCGUGUAGCGGUGAAAUGCGUAGAGAUGAGGAGGAACACCAGUGGCGAAGGCGGCCAACUGGACAGUAACUGACGCUGAGGCGCGAAAGUGUGGGUAGCAAACA
rnacentral:rRNA from 1 species